ACCCCUCUUUCUCUCAACCAGCCCUAAACUGCCACCUGCCCUAUGGAGCCGCCAUCCUCACUCCACCCUGAACCACUACCUUAAUCAUGAGAGUCCUCACCUAUUGUCGACAAAAUCACCUCCUAAACAAACCCCCUCGUUCGAUUGGCCCCACAAAACCAUGCAGGGGCCAAAUAUCUACAAGAACCCUAAAUCAUACAACCCACCACCUAUUGUCGACGGAAUCACCUCCCAAACACAACAGCCACAUUCAAUUAGCCCAACAACACCAUGUGAAAUGUCCAAGAAAAGCUUUGCGUUCACAAAUUGUAAAUCCAAAAACCUUGAAUAUGUUAUGGUGAUGGCAGGAAGAGAUGAACAAUCGAGCUGGGAAGGAAAAGGGAAGAGGAGUACCCGACCAAGGAAGAAGAAGAAAUUCCAAUGGCCAACUGAUUUUGGAAUCCACAGAUGAUGUCGUUUGGUUAAAUGAGAUACGCUGUUGUUUUGAUUUUUGAGUCUAAAAUUGUAAAUGGACAAACACAUUUUUGACAAACACGUUUUGUUUCCUUUGUUGCACAAUUUUGGGAUCUGUUAGAAACAGAUCCAACGAGGGAAAGAGAGGUUGAGAUUUGAAGCUCAACCAUAAAAAAUUGGUAUCAGAGCAGUUACAUGAACUGGGUAUGUCAGAAAACUAAAAGAAAAUCAAAUGAGGAGCAAUUUAGGAGAUUGGACAAAGAAAUAUCAACUUUGGGUGUCUGUUAAAACAAAUGACCAGUUGCUGCAGGUUGUUUGUACUAGACAAGACCGGAUGGAGCAAAUGAUGGGGAGAAAUGAAGGGUACACAAGACUCUAUGGCGUUGAUGUUAGCUCAAUUAAUUGGGAGUAAGGCUGAUCACAAAGAAAAAGAAGUAGAAUGAUAUAGGCCACCAUCUCAAACCAAUGGAGGUAGCCCUAGAAGAAAUAAAAUUACCUCCAGUAAUUCUAGCGGAAACAAAGAAGCUAGGAUGGUGACCAGACUACCCAAGAUAGACUUCACUUAUUUUAAUGAGGAAGGGGCCAGAGAGUAGCUGAGGAAGUUAAGCAAGUAUUUCCAUAUCCAUCAAGUAGAGGAUGAAAUGAAGUUGGGCAUAGCUGAGAUGUAUCUCAAAGGAAAGGCAGACAUAUGGUUCCAUGGCUUUAUCUCCAACCAUCCUAAUACUGAUUGGGGCAUGUUUUCCAAAGAGAUUUGCAAAAAAAACAUGGCUGAAGAAGUGAUAGAAACCUUUAGCAAACUAAGGCAAGGAGGAACCAUUACAGAAUAUUAGGAAUAGUUUGAAGAAUUGAAAUCCCAAGUGAUGAUUUCCCUACCUCUCUUACUAGAAUCCUACCAUAUUUCAAUAUUCAUCAAUAAUUUGAAGGAUGAGAUCAAAUCCAUGGUUAAAAUUAUGCAACCCCCAACCUUAGCCAAAGCUUUUGAGAUUGCUUUACUUCAAGAAAAUUCCAUCACAGCCCUUAAUAAAGGUCUAAAAACCUUCAAAGCAUAUUUCCGAACAAAAUGAUCUCACCCCAGUCCUAGUCCAAAUGAACCUCCAACUAAACCUACACCAUACAGCGAACUAAACCCAAAGAAAUCCUCUAGUCCAUUGAAAUUCAAAGAUAUCACCCCGUUUGACUUCCAAACAAAAAAAGAGUUAGGAUUAUGUUAUAAAUAUGAUGAAAAGUAUAGUAGGGGUCAUGUGUGCAAAAAUAAGAUUCUCAAUUUCAUAUUGGUGGAUAAAGAGGUGGAAGGGAGUUAGAUGAACCUCCAUGGGCGAAAAUGGAUCAAGCGGAGAAAGGAGAACUAGAGAAGAUAAUGGGAAUCUCCAUCUAUGCAUUGAUGGGCAACAACAGAGCAAAAACCAUCAGGCUACUAGGGAUGAUCAAAAAGAGAAAAGUGUCUAUAUUAAUUGAUAGUUGGAGUACCCAUAGUUUCAUUUAUGAAACCUUGGUAAAAAAUAUCAACUGCUAGAUGCAGCCAGCAACACUUACUUCAAUUAUUGUGGCAGGAGGUGAGAAACUCAUUAGUAAGGCAAUUUGUAAUCCACUGAUAUGGAAGAUGCAAGAUCUAGAAUUCCAAUACCAGUUAAGGAUAUUGAAAUUAGGAGGCAAUGAUAUGGUCUUGGAGGUGGAUUGGCUAAGUCAGUUCAACCCUGUGUUAUUUGAUUUUCUGAGAGGCAACAUUACCUUUACCUAUAAAGGUAUAGAGAUGGAACUCCGGUGAAGUCAUUAAGAAGGAAUUCCAUAUGAUGAGAUACUGGGGAGGGAUGUUGGUUCAAGAACCAAGAGUAUGGAGUGGUGGCACAAAUCACAGCCAUCACUAAGAAAGAGACAGAGGUCAUCCCUAUUGAACUUAAGGCUACUGUAGAUCAAUUUUCCAUGGUUUUCUUAGAACCUAAAUGUUUAUCACCAUCUAGGUUCAAUAACCAUCAUCUUCCAUUGAAAGAAAGGGCUCAGCCCUUUAAAAUCAGGCCUUAUAAGUACCCAUACAUUCAGAAAGCAGAGAUUGAAAGGAUGGUUAGGAAGAUGAGAAAAAGUGGUAUAAUACAACCAAACAACAGCCCUUAUGCCUCACCCGUGUUAUUGGUCAUGAAGAAAGAUGGGAUAUGGAGAUUUUGUCUUGAUCAUAAAUAGUUGAAUACCCUCAUGGUCAAGGACAAGUACCCUAUGUCCUUAAUUGAUGAAUUGUUGGAUGAACUUAAAGGGGCAAAGCGGUUUACAAAAAUCGACCUAAGAGCAGGAUACCAUCAAAUCAGGGUGGCUGAAAAAGAUGUCCACAAGAUAACUUUUAAGACCUAUGAGGGUCUUUAUGAAUUUAGGGUCAUGCUAUUUGGGCUUACAAAUGCCCCUGCCCCUGCCACUUUUCAAUGCCUAAUGAACGAAGUAUUCAAGCAGCACUUAUGUAGUACAUCUUUGUUUUAUUUUAUUUUAUUUUAUAAUAUACUGGUAUACAGCCCAAACUUGAAGAAACAUUGUAAACAUGUUACUGUUGUCUUGGAACUUUUAAAUUAGCACCAAUUGUAUGCUAAGAGGAACAAGUGCUCUUUUAGCCAAUAUAUCAUAGAGUACUUAGGCCACAUUAUAUCCGCAGAGGGAGUGUCAGCAGAUCCCUCUAAGAUAGUGGCAAUGCAGGAAUGGCCUAAGCCAGCCAAUGUUAAAUAGUUAAGAGGAUUCCUUGGCUUAACUCGGUAUUACACAAGGUUCGUAAGGGGAUAUGGAGCCAUAGCAAAGCCACUAAUUGAAUUACUAAAGAAGGAGAACUUCUAUUGGGGGAGGUUGCUGAAUCAGCUUUUCAAGAAUUAAAGCAUGCUAUGAGUACUACCCUAGUACUGGCUUUACCAUAUUUCUCUAUCCCGUUCAUUGUGGAAAUAGAUGCAUGCUAUGCGGGGUUAGGUGCAAUGCUAAUGCAGAACAAGAGGCCAAUAGCAUACCUAAGUAAAGGAAAUAGCAGCAGGAAUUUAGGGUUAUCAAUUUAUGAGAAUGAACUGUUAACUCUGGUGACUGCGGUAGGAGAGUGGAGGUACUGUUUAGAAGGUCACCACUUUAUCAUUAAGAUAGAUCAUUAGUCACUCAAGUCCUUACUUGAGCAAAGGAUCACUACUCCAUUAUAGUAGAAGUGGCUAUCUAAACUCUUGGGACUGAGUUAUGAAAUACAUUAUAAAAAGGGUGUUGAUAACAGAUGGCAGAUGCCUUGUCCAGGAGAGAAGAAAAGGCGGCUGAAUGCUUGGCAAUCACUGAGGUCACUUCAAUGUGGGUUGAAGAAGUAAUAGCUAGCUAUAAAGAAGAUAAGACGCAGAAGGUAAAAUCACUAUUGUGCUACUCUCUAAAGACAUUGAGCAAGAUUAUCGGUACAUGAAUGGACUUCUCAAAUACAAGUCAAGAAUGUAUAUUGGUAUUAGGGGAGGAGUAAGGAAGAAGUUGAUUGCAACCAUACACUCAUCCCAGAAAGGGGGCACUCAGGAUUAUAGGCAAGUAUACAUAGGGCUAAGUAAUUCUUCAUCUGGCCUAGGAUAAACAGGGAUAUAAAACAAAAGGUGUUGGAGUGUGACAAGUACCAAAGGUGUAAAGGGGAACAUGUAACUUACCUAGGAUUAAUUCAAUCCCUACCAAUACGACAAUAUGCUUGGAGCCACAUUUCCAUGGAUUUCAUUGAAAGGCUACUUACUUCUGGAUCAAAGAAUGUGAUAUUGGUGGUGGUGGACCAGUUCACCAAAUAUGCUCAUUUCUUAACUCUCUCACAUCCAUUCACAGCCCCAACCAUCGCCAAGUUAUUCCUGGAAAACAUCUACAAGUUGCAUGGAAUGCCUCAAAACAUUGUUACGGACAGAGAUAAGAUAUUUACAAAUGAGUUUUAUCAGGUAUUGUUCAAACACCUGAGGAUUAAAUUGUAGUUAAGCACAUCCUACCACCCACAAACUAAUGGGCAGAUAGAAAGACUAAACCAAUGCCUUGAAAUGUACCUAAGAUGCAUGGUUUACAAGUAACCAAAACAAUGGAUUAAGUGGAUUAGCCUAGCUGAAUGGUGGUACAGUACUACCCUGCAUACCUCCAUUCGAAUGACAUCUUUUGAAGCCUUAUAUGGUAUCAAACCUUUACAACUAGCCUUGAGGCCCUAUCAGCAGACUAACAUUGCUUCAGUUGAAGAUAUUUUGCAAAAAAGGCAGAAGAUAAAUAAAAUGCUAAAAGAAAACCUUGCCCAAGUCAGUGCCAAGAUGAAGUAUUAUGCAAAUCAACAUAGAAGUGAAAGGGAAUUCCAAGUUGGGGAUUGGGUAUAUUUAAAGCUUUAUCCAUAUGGUCAGUAAACUGUAACAAGGAGACCCAACAAAAAGCUAUCUGCAAAGUAUUAUGGCCUUUACAAGGUAGUGCAAAAGUUUGGGAAGGUAGCCUAUAAACUAGAGUUACUUGUUGCAUCUCAAGUCCACCCCAUUUUUCGUGUUUCUCUACUGAAAAAGAAAAUUGGGGAGAAAGAAGUUCCAACUGGUGCACUGUCGGAAUUUUAUAGGGGCAAGGGACACACAUUCAACCACUACAAGUUCUAUCUACAAGGAUGAUCAAACUAAAAUAGCAAAGCCAUUUCUUAAUGGCUAGUUCAUUGGGAAGGUUUCAAUGCUGAUGAUGCUAUGUGGGCGAGAGCAAAUGAAAUAAAGGCUUUUUUCCCAAAUUUUCAAUCUUCGGGAUAAGGUUAUUUGAAUGGAGAGGGAUGUUGUGGUGAUGGUAGGAAGGGAAAGGAACAAUCGGGCUGGGAAGAAAAAGGGAAGAGAAGUACUAGACCAAGGAAGAAGGAAGAAGACGAAGUUCCAAUGGCCAACUUUAGAAUCCACAAAUGGUGUCGUUUGGUUAAAUGAGAAACGUUGUCGUUUUUAUUUUUGAGUCUAAAAUCUUAAAUGGAUGCAUGAUUUUGGGGGAAAGAGAGGUUGGUAUGCGUAAUUUCUCUCAAGGAUUAUCUCUCCCUCUUUCUUUUUUCCUUUCUUAUCUAGUGUAUUGUUCUCAUUUCAUAGUAUAAACAUCAGUAGGUUCAAUUAAUCCA